rnacentral:rRNA from 1 species
CGACGUUCUUCCGAUCUCUCCUUAUUAACAGAAGUUAAUAAGGGAAAGAUUUAUUGGUAAGAGAUUAGCCUGUAUUGUAUCAGUUAGUUGGUGGGGUAAUGGCUUACCAAGACUAUGACACAUAACUGGUUUGAGAGGAUGAUCAGUCACACUGGAACUGAGACACGGUCCAGACUCCUACGGGAGGCAGCAGUGGGGAAUAUUGCACAAUGGACGAAAGUCUGAUGCAGCAACGCCGCGUGGAGGAUGACACAUUUCGGUGCGUAAACUCCUUUUAUAUAGGAAGAUAAUGACGGUACUAUAUGAAUAAGCACCGGCUAACUCCGUGCCAGCAGCCGCGGUAAUACGGAGGGUGCAAGCGUUACUCGGAAUCACUGGGCGUAAAGAGCGUGUAGGCGGGUAAAUAAGUCAGAAGUGAAAUCCAAUAGCUCAACUAUUGAACUGCUUUUGAAACUGUAUACCUAGAAUGUGGGAGAGGCAGAUGGAAUUUCUGGUGUAGGGGUAAAAUCCGUAGAGAUCAGAAGGAAUACCGAUUGCGAAGGCGAUCUGCUGGAACAUUAUUGACGCUGAGACGCGAAAGCGUGGGGAGCAAACAGGAUUAGAUACCCUGGUAGUCCACGCCCUAAACGAUGUACACUAGUUGUUGUGAGGCUCGACCUUGCAGUAAUGCAGUUAACACAUUAAGUGUACCGCCUGGGGAGUACGGUCGCAAGAUUAAAACUCAAAGGAAUAGACGGGGACCCGCACAAGCGGUGGAUGAUGUGGAUUAAUUCGAUGCAACGCGAAAAACCUUACCUACCCUUGACAUGUACGGAACCCUGCUGAGAGGUGGGGGUGCUCGAAAGAGAGCCGUAACACA